CGUAGGAUGCGAGCGUUGUCCGGAUUUAUUGGGCGUAAAGAGUUCGUAGGCGGUUUGUUAAGUCUGAUGUUAAAGACUGGGGCUCAACCCUGGGAGUGCAUUGGAUACUGGCAGACUCGAGUGCAGUAGAGGCAAGCGGAAUUCCAGGUGUAGCGGUGAAAUGCGUAGAUAUCUGGAAGAACACCGGUGGCGCAAGCGGCUUGCUGGGCUGUAACUGACGCUGAGGAACGAAAGCUAGGGUAGCGAAUGGGAUUAGAUACCCCAGUAGUCCUAGCCGUAAACGAUGGAUACUAGGCGUAUCGGGUAUCGACCCCUGAUGUGCCGCAGCAAACGCGAUAAGUAUCCCGCCUGAGUAGUACGGCCGCAAGGUUG
rnacentral:rRNA from 1 species